UACGUAGGGGGCAAGCGUUGUCCGGAUUUAUUGGGCGUAAAGAGCGUGUAGGCGGCCAGGCAGGUCCGUUGUGAAAACUCGAGGCUCAACCUCGAGACGUCGAUGGAAACCGUCUGGCUAGAGUCCGGAAGAGGAGAGUGGAAUUCCUGGUGUAGCGGUGAAAUGCGCAGAUAUCAGGAAGAACACCAAUGGCGAAGGCAGCUCGCUGGGACGGUACUGACGCUGAGGCGCGAAAGCGUGGGGAGCAAACAGG
rnacentral:rRNA from 1 species